rnacentral:rRNA from 1 species
UACGGAGGGUGCGAGCGUUGUCCGGAAUCACUGGGCGUAAAGGGCGCGUAGGCGGCUCAUGAAGGCUGUGGUGAAAGUCCGGGGCUCAACCUCGGAUCGGCCGUGGCGACUCGUGGGCUGGAGCACUGUAGAGGCGGGUGGAAUUCCGGGUGUAGCGGUGGAAUGCGUAGAGAUCCGGAAGAACCCCAGAGGCGAAGGCGGCGCCCUGGCUCGCAACUGACGCUCAGACACGACAGCAUGGGGAGCGAACGGG